rnacentral:rRNA from 1 species
GAUGAACGCUGGCGGCGUGCUUAACACAUGCAAGUCGAACGGUGAAGCAGAGCUUGCUCUGUGGAUCAGUGGCGAACGGGUGAGUAACACGUGAGCAACCUGCCCCUGACUCUGGGAUAAGCGCUGGAAACGGCGUCUAAUACUGGAUAUGAGCUGCGACCGCAUGUUCAGCAGUUGGAAAGAUUUUUCGGUCUGGGAUGGGCUCACGGCCUAUCAGCUUGUUGGUGAGGUAAUGGCUCACCAAGGCGUCGACGGGUAGCCGGCCUGAGAGGGUGACCGGCCACACUGGGACUGAGACACGGCCCAGACUCCUACGGGAGGCAGCAGUGGGGAAUAUUGCACAAUGGGCGAAAGCCUGAUGCAGCAACGCCGCGUGAGGGAUGACGGCCUUCGGGUUGUAAACCUCUUUUAGCAGGGAAGAAGCGAAAGUGACGGUACCUGCAGAAAAAGCGCCGGCUAACUACGUG